rnacentral:miRNA from 1 species
CAAAGGUUCAUUCGGGUUUUU